rnacentral:rRNA from 1 species
GACGAACGCUGGCGGCGUGCUUAACACAUGCAAGUCGAACGAUGAAGCCCAGCUUGCUGGGUGGAUUAGUGGCGAACGGGUGGGUAACACAUGGGUGAUCUGCCCUGCACUUCGGGAUAAGCCUGGGAAACUGGGUCUAAUACCGGAUAGGACCUUCUGCCGCAUGGUGGGGGGUGGAAAGGUUUUCCGGUGCAGGAUGGGCCCGCGGCCUAUCAGCUUGUUGGUGGGGUAACGGCCCACCAAGGCGACGACGGGUAGCCGGCCUGAGAGGGCGACCGGCCACACUGGGACUGAGACACGGCCCAGACUCCUACGGGAGGCAGCAGUGGGGAAUAUUGCACAAUGGGCGCAAGCCUGAUGCAGCGACGCCGCGUGAGGGAUGACGGCCUUCGGGUUGUAAACCUCUUUCAGUACCGACGAAGCGCAAGUGACGGUAGGUACAGAAGAAGCACCGGCCAACUACGUGCCAGCAGCCGCGGUAA